UACGUAGGGUCCGAGCGUUGUCCGGAAUUAUUGGGCGUAAAGGGCUCGUAGGCGGUUUGUCGCGUCGGGCGUGAAAGCCUGCAGCUUAACUGCGGGCUUGCGUUCGAUACGGGCAGACUUGAGGCAUGCAGGGGAGAACGGAAUUCCUGGUGUAGCGGUGAAAUGCGCAGAUAUCAGGAGGAACACCAAUUGCGAAGGCAGCACGCUGGGACGUUACUGACGCUGAGACGCGAAAGCGUGGGGAGCAAACAGG
rnacentral:rRNA from 1 species